rnacentral:rRNA from 1 species
AUGGAACCACCGGAUCCACCACGAAAAGGGGAUCUGCCAUGUGGACAAUGUGGUGGUGACGGACAGAACAAAAAGCCACCAUCUAGUGGCAAAAUGGAAGGAUCCAUCAAUGGCGACGCUACUGGUGCCGACGGCACUCCACUCGGCGCCGCCAAUGCAUCGGACACGGCUGCCGAAGAACCGGAGAUGGUUAGCCGUGCUGGCCGGAAAAGGAUGCGGGGCCUGGUCAAUGACAACACGACAGUAGGGGAGGACAUGCGCAGAUGUCGGCGUAGGCGUACGCUCGUACUUGUGCCCGGAGAUCCAGCCGCUGGUGGGGAAGUGAUUCCAGUUGUGCCGCCAGUCCUUUCUGCAGAAACUCACUUGCUUCGUGGUAGGGUAGUUAAAUGUACCUGGAGCUGCCAUCAGAUCCAGCGCAUAGGUAUGAGGUACUACACAGAAGUUCAUAGGACUGGCAUGGCGAGCUUGUUAACCACUGCAUUUGAUGGUGAGGCCGACAGGAGGUUCUACGCCUGGCUACUUAGUAGAUUUAGGUGGGAAGACAUGAGCUUCACUUUCCCUGACGGCCAGAUUAGAUAUUUCACCCCCGGAUCCAUCGUUAGAACUUUGGGUCUGAGAAACAGCGGCCGUAAAGUGAGUUUGGUUAAAAUAAAAGCAAAAGAGAGACAUAAUUUAGCUCUCAGAAUCAGGACAAUCCUUGGAAUAGAGACACGGAGCCAUGCCAGGGAUGGGGGGUUGACUAUUAGUGCAGUUGCUGAUGCUAUAAGUAGUAUGAUGAGGGCUGGUGUUUACCCACAUCAAAUCAGGUCUUUCGAGAUAGCGUUCUCGCUGUUAGCCGGUGGUACAUAUGUUGCCCCCAGACAGUCGUACACGUCGAUCAAUUGGGAGCUGCUAGCUUGUGUCCUAUGCAAUCAUGGGACUGGCGAGUACGACCUAGCCGACUGGGUAUUUGAGAUCAUCAGAGCAGCUGUGAAAAAAUACAUAAAGAUCUGGCAGCUGGGGUGA